UACGUAGGUGGCAAGCGUUGUCCGGAAUCAUUGGGCGUAAAGAGCGUGUAGGCGGCCCGGUAAGUCCGCUGUGAAAGUCCAGGGCUCAACCCUGGGAUGCCGGUGGAUACUGUCGGGCUCGAGUCCGGAAGAGGAGUGUGGAAUUCCUGGUGUAGCGGUGAAAUGCGCAGAUAUCAGGAGGAACACCAAUGGCGAAGGCAGCACUCUGGGACGUGACUGACGCUGAGACGCGAAAGCGUGGGGAGCAAACAGG
rnacentral:rRNA from 1 species